rnacentral:rRNA from 1 species
UACGUAGGUGGCAAGCGUUAUCCGGAUUUAUUGGGUGUAAAGGGCGUGUAGGCGGGAAUGCAAGUCAGAUGUGAAAACUCAGGGCUCAACCCUGAGCCUGCAUUUGAAACUGUAUUUCUUGAGUGCUGGAGAGGCAGUCGGAAUUCCGUGUGUAGCGGUGAAAUGCGUAGAUAUACGGAGGAACACCAGUGGCGAAGGCGGAUUGCUGGACAGUAACUGACGCUGAGGCGCGAAAGCGUGGGGAGCAAACAGG